AGAACGAACGCUGGCGGCAUGCCUAAUACAUGCAAGUCGAACGAAGGCUUCGGCCUUAGUGGCGCACGGGUGCGUAACGCGUGGGAAUCUGCCCCUUGGUUCGGAAUAACAGUUGGAAACGACUGCUAAUACCGGAUGAUGACGAAAGUCCAAAGAUUUAUCGCCAAGGGAUGAGCCCGCGUAGGAUUAGCUAGUUGGUGAGGUAAAGGCUCACCAAGGCGACGAUCCUUAGCUGGUCUGAGAGGAUGAUCAGCCACACUGGGACUGAGACACGGCCCAGACUCCUACGGGAGGCAGCAGUAGGGAAUAUUGGACAAUGGGCGAAAGCCUGAUCCAGCAAUGCCGCGUGAGUGAUGAAGGCCUUAGGUUGUAAAGCUCUUUACCGAGUAUGAUAAUGACAGUAGUCGGAGAAUAAGCCCCGUCUAACUCCGUGCCAGGCAGGCCGAC
rnacentral:rRNA from 1 species